rnacentral:rRNA from 1 species
CAAUAGCGUAUAUUUAAGUUGUUGCAGUUAAAAAGCUUGUAGUUGGAUUUCGGGUGGGACGCAGCGGUCUCGCAUUGCGUUUGUACUGCUGCAGCCCUCCUUCUUGCCGGGGGCGGCCUCUCGGACUUCACUGUCUGGGGGUCAGAAUCGGCGAUGUUACUUUGAGUAAAUUAGAGUGUUCAAAGCAAGCUUACGCUCUGAAUAUAAUAGCAUGGGAUAACACGACAGGACUCUGGCCUAUCGUGUUGGUCUAUAGGACCAGAGUAAUGAUUAAGAGGGACAGUCGGGGGCAUUCGUAUUCCGUUGUCAGAGGUGAAAUUCUUGGAUUUACGGAAGACGAACAUCUGCGAAAGCAUUUGCCAAGGAUGUUUUCAUUGA